UAAUAAUAAUAAUCUAUUUUUUUAAGAGUAGUGAUGAAUAUGUAUUAGUCUAGGAGCAUAAAAAACAGCCGUCUGAUGUAACAGGUGAGCGUCUUGGUGGAGCAGAGACUCUCGGUGCACCCAGCACUCAUUGCUUGCCUCUAUUUGCUUAAUAAAUUGCAAACUU